rnacentral:lncRNA from 1 species
GGGGGGGUCUGGGCGCAAAAGCCACGGGUGCCAGAGAGACGGGCCGUGGAGGGGUUGGAACUACGGGGCAUCGAAAAGGGGGGCCGGAGGGGGGUGGGAACCGUAGGCGCGCAUAGGGGGAUGGAGCACCGAUGCCACCGGUGCCAGAGAGGAGGCACAAGGGCAGAGGAGCCAUGGACAGACCAAUGGGGGACAGAGGAGGCGCAGGUAGCACGGACAGG